UACGAAGGGGGCUAGCGUUGUUCGGAAUUACUGGGCGUAAAGCGCACGUAGGCGGAUACUUAAGUCAGGGGUGAAAUCCCGGGGCUCAACCCCGGAACUGCCUUUGAUACUGUCGAUCUGGAGUAUGGAAGAGGUGAGUGGAAUUCCGAGUGUAGAGGUGAAAUUCGUAGAUAUUCGGAGGAACACCAGUGGCGAAGGCGGCUCACUGGUCCAUUACUGACGCUGAGGUGCGAAAGCGUGGGGAGCAAACAGG
rnacentral:rRNA from 1 species